rnacentral:lncRNA from 1 species
UCCCCAUCUCCUCCUACUCUAGCUCCAUCCUUCCGUACCGGCAAUCCCUCUCUCUUUUCUUUUUUUUUCCUCACCCAAUUCUUCUUAUCAUUUUUCUACUUUUCUAGACCCACUAACGAGUACUCUCCCUCCUUUUUCAUCCUCUUUUUCGUAAUCUCUUCUCCUCUUCUUGCUCCUCCUCCAAUCUCCUCGAUGAGGCUUUUGAUGCCGUCCUCUCUUUUCAUAUCAACUUUCACGAUCCUAUCCUCCUUUUCUAUGACAACUCUCUUCAUCUUCAUU